AGCCGGAUGGCUGAUAAAAGCAAUAAACUGUAGAUUUAUUAAUAAGACAAAAAUCUUUUCGGUUA
rnacentral:tRNA from 1 species